CUUCUGCAAGACGCUUGUUGCAGGUGUGCGCAAGGAAUCCCUGAUUCAGUUUGAAGAAGGAGCAAGUACAGACAAGAGGGUGGCCCACGACAGACUGGAAAAGGGGUUCUUAUGUCCUCUAGGGGUCAAGGGCUUGGCGUAAGGCAGCGACGCCACUCAUGUAACUGUGACCCUCGUUUAGAAACGCAGACACUUAAACGUGACCUCACCAGGAGACAAACCCAGGGAGAGUCAGUGCUGACAGGACAGAUCGCCCGGAAAAGUUUGCCAAGAGGAACCUCCAACCCAAGGACUGACAACUGCAUGUCUGCGCCCAGGACACACCCUGGGAGGAGAAGGCCUAAAGAUUUCAUACAAAGUAUUUUUCCAGGAAACUCAGUAGAAAAUGAGUCCCCUCCGAGAAGAAAGGAGGCCCUGGGAACCUCACAGACCGCAGCCCCUCCGCGCACGGACCCCGGAGCCCGAGGCCCGACUGUCCUGAGAACCCUCCCGCGGGCCCCGCACCGUCUGGGACACGCGGGGCUGCGGGCGCACAGCGGCCCAGAGACGCUCCGGCCCAAGUCGCCGCGCGCAGGGACCACAGGACGCCCGGGGCCCGGCUGCCGGCCCCGCCCCCACGCUGCUGCCGGAGGGGCCUGAGGGCCGAGCCGCGCGACCGCGGACUCGGGGCCGCAAAGCCCGGAGGGGACCGCGGGAGGCCGGGCCCGCCCCGCCGCUUCCCACCAACCCCUCCACCCCAAACCGUGUCUCCGAACCCCCGGCCAGAACUCUCACCAUUGCCCAGGUUCCUGGAGCCCCGGCGUCCCUCCUAUGACUCGGUACAGGACACAGCGGGACAGAGUCGGCAGCAAAGCGUCGCGGAACGUUUAAGAGCAGGAGAUCCCUGACCGGAAGUACUGUGGCACGACAGGAAGUCGGUUGUGGUUGCCCAGCGUCGGCCCGCCCACCUUCCCCGCAGCGAAUCCUGAUUGGACGGCUCGAAAGGUCCUGAAUGACAGCGGGAUAGAGCUUACGCAUCUGAGUCAACCCAGAGCUGAAAGUGGUCCUAUGCCGGGACUUUUUUGCUGAGGUGCAAUGCUGCGAGGCUGCUCCGGAAGCUGUGACCCUUCUUGGCAAACACACUUAAAAUCACCUCCCCAUAUGUAAUAGUCUGGCUCCAUUCUUAACUUUGAUCUUUCACCCAGCGCUUCCCCACCUCCCCUCAAAUUGUACUUUACAAAAUCCUAUGGCCUCCCAAGCCCUUAGCCCUGGUGGGAAGUUGGAGCCCGGAGCCAUAGCUGGGCACAAGGUGUCUUCUCAGGCUAACUACAAGGUAUGAGAUGUGUUCAUUCAGUUCUCAGGUGUACGUUUUACGCUGGAGGGAAAUUUGUUUUAGAUCAGUUUUUGAAUGUAUCCUGAGAGAACUUUGAAAUGUAAGUCUUUAAUAUCCCUAAGGAAAUUCAGUUCCUAUUUGGACUGAUAUAACAAGAAAACAAGAAAAGGUUAUGUAAAUGUGGGAUGUACCUGGAAAGUAUUCGUAUGCUUAGAUUGGAUGCCUAACUUAUUUGCAUUACACAUCCCUAAUCCAUUUAUCCAUUUAUUUGAACAGAUGUGGUUCCCCCUCACCCCGCCCCCAAGAAACAAUACGCAUACUAUACAAUAGAGGGCUUUAAUGUCUACAACGCACUGAUCUUCAGUUGAUUCACACAUACCGUGCAAUCAUCACCGCAGUCAAUUUCAGAAUAUUUCCAUCACCUGAAAAGAAACUCCUAUAUCCUUAACCUAUCACUGCCCUAUCUUCCCACUUAGCUUGCUCCAAGCGCCAGCCCUAGACAAGCACCAAUCUAUUGUCUGUGUCUAUUAAUGUCCAUAUUUGUCGACUUUCAUAUGAAUGAAAUUCUAUAAUAUGUGGUCGUUGUGUUUGACUUAAUUCACUUGGUAUAAUUUUUUCAGGGCAUUCCAUGUUGUAGCAUGUGAUGAGGAUUUUUAGGCUGGUUAGUUUUAAAACUACAGAUGAGAUUCAGGCUCCAAGGAGUGGAAUUUGUUUGCCCCUUUGUUGGGAAACAUUUACAUUUCUAAGGGAAACCUCUGUCUGUGAAGAUGCCUCCCUCUCUGUGCCAGGAAGAAGGGGGGAUCGUCUUAUGUCUAGAAGCUCUUAAUCAAUGCCAGAGGCAAGAACUUAAGUUGGUUACUGUCUGGCAACCUCAUGUAACUGACCCGCCCACCCCCCCACCCCCACCCCCCCCCCCCCCCCCGCCCCGAACAAAUCCUCCUUUGUCUUUAGCCGAGGAUAAAAUUCAAGUGGUGAGUGACUUCUGCCAUUUACUCAAUCCGGUUUAAUUCUUAUCUAAAAGUUGUGGGACCGCCAAAUGGCCAGACCAUACGGGCACUGAUACCAUUUUAACUUUUUUACAUAUUCUUUGUCUUGUAAAGAGAUAACUCACAUACCUAUGCCUUAAAUUUAGCCUUACUCUCCACCCAACUUUGCAGCAGCAGCAGCAGCAGGAGCUCUGACUGCCCAUGGGUCCUGUCCCCAUGCCAGCGGGGGCAGCAGCAGCAGAAACUCUGACUGCCCAUGGGUCCUGUCCCCAUGCGGCAGCAGCAGGAGCUCUGACUGCCUGUGGGUCCUGUCCCCACGCACCAGCUCUGCCUGCCCAUGGGUCCUGUCCCCAUGCCAGCGGGGGCAGCAGCAGCAGCCCUGCCUGCCCAUGGGCCCUGUCCCCAUGCCAGCGGGGGGCAGCAGAAGCAGCGGCAGCAGAAGCUCUGACUGCCCAUGGGUCCUGUCCCCAUGCUACACUAUUCUCUAAAUAAAAGAGCACUACUGCCAGAUCUUAAGAGUCUA
rnacentral:lncRNA from 1 species